CCUACGGGUGGCAGCAGUGGGGAAUAUUGCACAAUGGGGGAAACCCUGCUGCAGCGACGCCGCGUGCGUGAAGAAGUAUUUCGGUAUGUAAAGCUCUAUCAGCAGGGACGAAAAUGACGGUUCGUGAUUAAGAAGCCCCGGCUAAAUACGUGCCAGCAGCCGCGGUAAUACGUAGGGGGCAAGCGUUAGCCGGAUUAACUGGGUGUAAAGGGAGCGUAGAAUGUAGCACAGGUCUGGAGGGAAAUCCCGGGGCUUAACCCCGGAACUGCUUUGGAAACUGUGCAGCUAGAGUGCAGGAGAGGUAAGUGGAAUUCAUAGUGUAGCGGUGAAAUGCGUAGAUAUUAGGAGGAACACCAGGGGCGAAGGCGGCUUACUGGAUUGAAACUGACGUUGAGGCUCGAAAGCGUGGGGAGCAAACAGGAUUAGAUACCCCGGUAGUC
rnacentral:rRNA from 1 species